GUCGAAAGCCAUGGAGGAAAGGCAUGGCUCCUACAGUCCUCACGCAGAAGUUUCCUGUACAAACACACGUAAUAUAUACGCGCAUCUGGAGUCAACGUUAGCUGGCUAGCUAAUUUCUGUUUUAAGCAAACAAGCCCCUGCCAUGCCUGAGUUUGGUGACAGAUGGCUCGCUUUGAGAGCCGCCCAGGAGCGCUCUCUUACAAAAGAUGUCAUUUCUUUACACAACUGUGCGUUUGAUUCUCAGCACGAACAUACUGUAUGGUAAUGACAUUGCAUUUAACACGACAUAUGCAGUUGCAUACAUACUGCUGAGCAAGACACUUUAGUUUGAGAACAGCAGCAAAAUGAAUGAAUUAUUUUCUGUUUGACUUUUAAAUAUGGAACAUUUGAUGGGUCUGAGCCUGAAGAUAAAGUAAAGUGCAUUUUGAAGUGAUUUAAAAAGCUGCUGCAUUGAUUUUAUAGUUUCGGAGAUAGUGACAAAAAAGUUAGUUAAUUGGAGCUAGAUCUGCGUAAAAUUAUGUUUACAAUUUUUAUUUCAAAUUUUCUUCUACAGUAUAAUAUAUAACAAAUUCAGACACAGUCAAGUGUCAGUAUUUGUCAGUUUUAGUUUUUCUUCAGAUAUAAUGCAGUGUUGUGGAAAGGACACACUCAGAAUGCUUAUCUUCAUUUCAUUACUUACGGGCCUGACUGUGGAGGCAGUAACCUGUUCUGAAUGAUUGCUGACCACACGGGGGUUGAUUUAAACUCUGUCUGUAGGUGGCAGCACAGCCGUGCAAACGACAGCCUGCAAUCAAGGGCACACAUCUGUUCCUAUACCGGACAUGGUCGAGUGCAUGGAUUUAAAAAACUGAAACCAUAACCAAGACAUCAUCUAAAUGCAGAUACAAGCUCUAAUGCAAACAAACAAUACCACCACAGACUGUUGUCUGUGCCAGAUUGAGUGCACUUCCUCUGAAGUGGAGAACUGAACAAAGGCGUUUAAUCAGAAUUUGAUUAAUUCUAAUCUGGUUUCUUUCAAAGCAAUAAUUUCCUUGCUACUCGAUCAAUAAAGCAUUGCUCCUUGAAUGAGUUGCGGUCUUCUCGGAAUGAUGAAGUCUCCUUUGUUAUUUUCCACGCACACUCAAUUUACCCUUGGUUAUCCAGCCACACUCUCAUGAAUAAUGUUUUUAUCUCCCCUUUUAC